rnacentral:rRNA from 1 species
GUGGGGAAUAUUGGACAAUGGGCGAAAGCCUGAUCCAGCCAUGCCGCGUGUGUGAAGAAGGUCUUCGGAUUGUAAAGCACUUUAAGUUGGGAGGAAGGGCAGUAAGUUAAUACCUUGCUGUUUUGACGUUACCGACAGAAUAAGCACCGGCUAACUUCGUGCCAGCAGCCGCGGUAAUACGAAGGGUGCAAGCGUUAAUCGGAAUUACUGGGCGUAAAGCGCGCGUAGGUGGUUUUGUAAGUUGGAGGUGAAAUCCCCGGGCUCAACCUGGGAACUGCCUCCAAAACUGCAUGACUAGAGUACGGUAGAGGGUAGUGGAAUUUCCUGUGUAGCGGUGAAAUGCGUAGAUAUAGGGAGGAACACCAGUGGCGAAGGCGACUACCUGGACUGAUACUGACACUGAGGUGCGAAAGCGUGGGGAGCAAACAGGAUUAGAAACCCGAGUAGUCC